GAGAAAAUGGGUGCAGAAUAAUUUAGUUCAAAUUUUAAGGGUACAUGUGGUUCUCAAUUGGAAUCAAAAUUGGAUUUAGAAUCAUAAUAGAUUGAAAGGGGAAUCUAAAUAGCCACAUCUCUUGGUGUGCUUAGUUUGUAACUAAAAUCAAAAUCAGAAUUGGAAUAGAAUUUGAAUAUUAGAGAAGAGAAUAGGGAAGGAUUGGAUUUAAGGGGA
rnacentral:lncRNA from 1 species